GACGAACGCUGGCGGCGUGCCUAAUACAUGCAAGUCGAACGCAGUGGGGACGGGGGAGUAACACGUGGGUAACCUCCCAUCAGAGGGGAUAACACUUGGAAACAGGUGCUAAACCGAUACUGAUGGAUGGACCCGCGGUGCAUGAGGUAUUUGGUGAGGUAACGGCUCACCAAGGCCACGAUGAAUAGGCGACCGUAGAGGGUGAGCGGCCACACUGGGACUGGCACAGGGCCCAGACGCCCACGGUAGGCAGCAGUAGGGAAUCUUCGGCAAUGGACGAAAGUUUGACCGAGCAAGGCCGCGUGAGUGAAGAAGUUUUUCGGAUCGUAAAACUCUGUUGUUAGAGAAGCGGUAUCUAACCAGAAAGCCACGGCUAACUACGUGCCAGCAGCCGCGGUAAUUC
rnacentral:rRNA from 1 species